UGGAAGGAAUGAUGGAAAACAUACACCUGCCGACUAGACUUCGUUCGAUGCUGUCGCAACAUACCAUCUUUCGGGUCUGACCUUAUCA
rnacentral:snoRNA from 1 species